GAACUUUAAGGCCUGGAAAAACCCUUGAAAAUAGCAAUAUUCCUGAAGAGGUGCUUGAAAAGUGCUUGAAUUAUUGACAAUGUAUCUAAGAAAUAAGUGUUUAUAAUCAUGUAUAUUUUCAUGCAAAAUUCAUGGAAUUAAACUUUUUUUUCUAUUAUUUCAGAGCCAUUCAUUUUCGAUUAAAAGAAAGACAUCGGAAAGAAAUAUUCACGUUUUGAAUCAAAUGAUUCGUGAACUUGAUUUGAAGUCCUGUUUUGAAUCAUUUGAUUUGCGAACGCGAUCUGAAGUCCCAAUCUGAAUCAAAUGAUUUGGGAAACCUAUCCGAAGUCCGUUUUAAAAAAAUGAUUUAUGAACCUGAUCUGAAAGUCCCAAUCUAAAUCAGAUGAUUCGCAAUCCCUGCUCCGAAGUCCCUAUCUGAAUCAUUUGAUUCGCAAACUCGAUCCGAAGCCCCGAUCUGAAUCAAAUGAUUCACAAACCCGAUCUGAAGUCCCUAUCUGAAUCAUUUGAUUCACAAGCCUGAUCCGAAGCCCCGAUCUUAAUCAAAUGAUUCACAAAACUCAUCCGAAAUCCAGUUUUGAAUAAAAUUAUUAGUGAAUCCAGUCUGAAGUCCCGAUCUAAAUAAAAUAAUUCGCUAUCCCUGCUCUGAAGUUCUGAUCUGAAUCAAAAGAUUUGAGAACCCACACUGAAGUCCUAAUCUGAAUCAAGUGAUUAAUGAAACCGAUCUAAAAUCCCAUUUUGAAUAAAAUGAUUCACAAACCCGAUCCGAAGUCCUGAUUUGAAUCAAAUGAUUCACAAAACUGAUCUGAAAUCCCGUUUUGAAUAAAAUGAUUUGUGAAUCCGAUCUGAAGUCCUGAUCUAAAUCAAAUGAUUCGCAAUCCCUGCUCCGUAGUUUUGAUCUAAAUCAAAUUAUUUAUGAUACGCAAUCUGAAGUCCUGAUCUGAAUCAAAUGAUUUGCGAACCCGAUCCGAAGUCCCGAAUUUCGACAUUGGUCAUAAUGAUUUUAAAAACCAUCGUGUCGCAACAUGAUUCACUGUUUUGAAGCACUCCAAUCGGAUCGUGUAUCACGAAUCAUUUGAUUCAGAUCGGGCCUUCAAAUCGUGUAUCACGAAUCAUUUGAUUUAGAUUGGAACUUUUCAUAUGAAUCAUUUGAUUCAGAUUUGGAUUUCAGAGGAAGUGUUAUUAUGGAUUCUGGACUUAUACUUUAGUUAAAAACAUCUUAAUGAUAGAUUUGUUUCAGCUUUUGUCUUCUCAAGAUGUGAACUGAUGGACUGAAGUGGGAGGAUUAUUGUGAUGUUUUUAUCAGCUCUCAUUCUGACGGCACCCAUUCACUGCCAUUGAUGAGACAGUAAUGGAAUGACACAUUUCUCCAAAUCUGAUGAAGAAGCAACUCAUCUACAUUUUGGAUAGACUUAAGUUGAGAUGGAUAUGCGGUUUGGGACUUUAAAUCAGAUCUGACCUUCUACAGCUGUCGGACACUGCUGAGAGUAAAUCUGAUGGAGAGCUUCGGCAUCGCAGGCAGACGCUCCUGAUGGACACACAGUAACACUGAUGCAUCGCUUCCAGGAAAGUCCUCCAUGAUAUCGACCCCUCCUGUGUCUCCUGACUCGCUCCUGUGAUUUAAAGACACAGCAAGAAAAGCAGCAGCAGAAUGACUUUCAUCCGUAAUCCUCGUGCACAAUCGACAGAUUCAGGAUAGCGGGAUUGAUUCGCAGUCUGCUGGAAAAACAUCACGUGACGCGUGUUUUCCUGAAACACAGACACACAGAUUCUCCCCGCGACUCCCGCCGGCGCCCGAUUGGGCGGAAUCCCGCCGCCGUAACCAUGGCGACCGCCCCCAGAGCACCUGGAGUGGUGACGCAGGCGUCGCCAUGACUCCUGAAGGACGGAGCGGCGAUAUAAAUAGAACGAGGGAUGAGAAACGGGGGGAUAUUUGGGGAGGAUGAUGGCAGCUGUGACCCAAACACACACACACGAGAGCCACAGGUGUGCUACUGUCUGAAUGCCAGUGGGAAUGGCUCUCAAUGUGACUUUGGAAACUCGUCUCCAGCAGGGAUUUCACUGUCAAUCCGACUGUAACAGGAGACGUGGAGCACUAAUGUGUGUCGUCCCACAGGAAGAUGCUGGAUGUUGCUCAGAGGAGGCUCUGUUACAGCUCAGGAGAGUCUUGUUUUGAGAAUGAGCUUUGUUUUAGAUGGAUGUUUUUUAGAAAUAGAAGAACUAGAAUAUGUACAUUUUCUAAAGAAAAUAUGAUGGUUUUUGAAUAUGAAAAAAAAUCACAAUACUAGCGUGAACUGGGUGACAGGGUUAUUAUAAUUAAUGAAACUAAAACCAUAAAAAAAAUAGUAAUUUAAAUGAAGAACUUUAAUUAAAAUUAAAUAUUAAACUAAUUUUUAGCAACAUUUCUAAUUUUCUUACUAAAAAUAAAACUGAUACAAAAAUUAUUUUUAAAAAUACAUAUUUAAAAACAUAUUUAAAGAAAAUAAAUAAACAAGAGCUGAUUACACAUUAAAAAACAGCAGGGUUAUUAUUGUUAUUUAAAAUUAAAAUCUUUAAUUGAAUUUUGUUACUAAAAAUGUUAACUGAAAAAAAUAUGUUUGUUAAAAAAAUAUAUAUUUUUUUAUUUUAUUUUAGCAACAUUUGUCAUUUUUUAAGUUAAACCCGAUGUACCAAAAUAACUAAAACUAAAACUGAAAUAAAAAUGUAUUAAAAAACAGACACACAAAAUAAAUAAAUAAACAAUUGUGCUUUUAAAAACAGCAGGGUUAUUAUUGUAUUGUAAAUUUUGUUUUUAUGUAUAUAAAUGUAUGUAUAUAUAUAUAUGUAUGUGUGUAUAUAUAUAUAUAUAUAUAUAUAUAUAUAUACUGAAAUAAAAAAUGCACAUUUAAAAAAAUUAGUAAACAAAUGUCAAAUGCACAUUUUUAAUACAGCAAGGUUAUUAUUGUUUUUGUUUUUUUAAUCUUUAUUUAAAAAUGUUAACAAGUGAAAUUAAAUAUUUUUAAAAACGUAAACUUAAAUUCAAAACUAAUUGUCAUUUGGUUUAAUAAAAUAUAUAAAACUGAAAUAAAAAUAAUUACAACUAUGUAGACAUAAAAAAAAAACAAUGAAAUUACAAAAAUUACAACUUUAACAAAAAUUAAUAAAUACUAUAAUAACAUCUUUUUGAUGCUGUUUUACUGCAUUGCUGUUCUGUUGCUAGGGUGUUAUUGGUAGUUGCUAGGCGGUUGCUAACAUAUGAGUCACUAGUUGUCAUCCAGUAAGAGUUUAGAGCUACAGUACAAUGUUGCUUAGAUUAUUUAAUGAGAAAUGCUUGACUUUGUAUUGAGUUUUGAUUGCAGACUUUGGUAUCUUGAAAAGUUUGAGAUGUUCUUAAGACUCAUGUCAGUUUACUCAACUUUUUUUUAGAAAACAGCUGAGAAACAUAAUCUCAUUGCUGUGUAGGUGAAACAGCCGAGAUGUUGAAAAGAUGCAUCAGACGUUUCUUUACCUUUUUUUGAAAAUCAACGUCUGCAUUGUCACUGCAGCAUCUCAUAGACGGCGGUCCGACACCAUGGCAACCGUCUCAUGGAUGCACCUAGAGACGGUCAGCCGCUGCCAAUAGAAGUUUGAAGUUUUAAUAGUAGAACUUGAAUUAUUCCAUCAAACGUUCCGUUUCAUCUUCAUCCUCCUGCUUUUAUCCGGUUGUAGACUGUCGUGUUUGUUAUUUCAUGGAUUCACGGUUGUUGAGCACGUUUGUGUCAAAUCUUCACAGAUGAAAACAGAUCUAAAGCACGAGUUCUGUGUGAAGUAUGCAAGUGUGUUUCUAUAUUCAAACACUUGGAUUGAUUUCUUUAUUUCAGAAGCGGAUUACGCAAUGUCUGGCAACCCUACUGCUGUUUAUAUAUUAAACCGUGUUCAGUGUCAGUGUCUCUGACAGAAAACGUGACGAAUACGUAAGAAUUAAAGCAUCAAAUCAGUUACUUAGAACUGAGUGUCUGGGAAAACAUGUUUGCUGUGUUUAAAAUUUGUUUUGGUAAAAGAAAAAAAAAGUUUUUACACACGAAAACUGAGAAAUAAUGUUGUGUAAUCAGUAAUAAAAUAUAUAAUUAUAAAUAAUAAUUAUGGAUAAUAUAUAAUAAUAUUAAUCUUGUGAAUGGAAAUCUGUUUUUACAAACAUGAAACUUGAAGUCAGAGCCGUGAGGGUCUCACAGCAGAUCACACAACAUUUACACACGUGACCUGUGACCUUUCACUGAUGAAACAUUUACUGUGGAAAAACACACGUCGGCAAACAGACUAAAUGAGCCGGGUUCCUUAUGUCACACACAUGAAUAGAUGCUUGGGUCAGGCCGCUCUUAUCUGAGGAGGCGUGACGUGUGAUUGGUCGGCCGGAUCAGGUGACCAAACAGCCUCUCGGGAGGAAAAGUUCAGGUUUGUGUCUCGAGUUUCCUGUGCGGCUCGUUUUUCAUUGGUUAAUUAUGAAGUGUGGGAAAGAGCGGUUCACGGGGUGGGGAGAGACACGGGCGCUUUCAGAUCCAUUGUGGGGCGACAGAGGACUCCGAGGAUACCGGUUUCAUUCCACGUAGCGAGCGUGUGUGUGUGUGUGCUGCUCUGAGCUUUACGUGUCAUGGGAUUGUACAGCACAUUGUGUAAAUAAGUUCUUCCCCGUGUAACCCAAAUACGUCUCCAUUCACGACAGGAGACACUCCUCCUGCAUUUAAUGUCAGCUUCCCAAAGCUAUCGCUUUCCAUGCGUGUUAGUGCUUUACACUCAUUUUGAGAAACCAGGCCUUUUCCAGUGAUUUGUAAGAUUUGUAAUGUUUUUAAGGCAAGACACCACAGGUGACUUACCCAGCUGAUUAAUCACAGAUUACAUUUGUAUUACAAGUUUUUUGAAAUGUUAUUCUUAAAUAUGCAAUAUGCAAUAAUUUCCAGAAGAUUAUUAUGAACAUUGGAUAAAGCCAGGUUCAAAAAUGUAUUUUGGUUUUGUUGACAUUUUAGAGUUUAAGGUUUUAUUAGAGGGGUUUUUUUAUAUCUCUUUUUAUCACUCCAUAAAGCCAUAAAUAAAUACAGAAAGACAUUUUCCUUAUGUUUUUAGGACUAAAAUGUUAUUUAAAAAAAAACUAUAUAUGAAAAAACACUUCAUAAUAUAGAGAGGAAUAAAACUGCUAAGUUUGGUGUUUGUAAGUGCUGCUGAAGUGGAGAAAAAAACUUUGAAAGAUAUUUAAAGACAAUUCUGUCUUUAAGUGCUGCUGAAGUGGAGGAGAAAAUUUUGAAAGAUAAGAAAUUUUUUUAAAGACAGUUGUUUUAUUACAAGUUUAAAUAUGCAGUAAUAUUCUGUAAUUUGCAUUCAUUUUUAGAAGAUUUAUCUGAAAAUUGGAUGAGGCAAGGUUCAAAAUUCUUGUUUAAUAUUGUUGACAUAUUAGAGUUAAAGGUUUUUACAGAAGGGAUUUUGGAUUUCUCUUUUUAUCACUGCAUAAAUCAGAAAAUACUGUGAAACACACAGAAAAAAAAAAACCUGUUUUCACGUCUUUAGGUCAGAAUGUUAUUUAAAAAAUAAACAAACAAACAAAUGAUAUACGAACAAAACCUUCAGUAAAAACCUUCAGAAUAUAGAGAGGAAUAGAACUGCUAAGUUUGGUGUUUGUGAGUGCUGCUGAAGUGGAGAAAAAAACUUUGAAAGAUAUUUAAGGACAGUUCUUUUAUUACAAGCUUAAAUAUGCAGUAAUAUGCCGUAAUUUGCAUUAAUUUUCAGAAGAUUUAUCUGAAAAUUGGAUAAUGCAAGGUUCAAAAUUCUUGUUUGAUAUUAUUGACAUAUUAGAGUUAAAGGUUUUUACAGAAGGGAUUUUGGAUGUCUCUUUUUAUCACUGCAUAAAUCAAAAAUUACUGAAACAUACAGAAAAUCUCCUGUUUUUACGUCUUUAGGACUAAAAUGUUAUAAAAAACAAACAAACGAUAUACAAACAAACCCUUCAGUAAAAACCUUCAGAAUAUAGAGAGGAAUAGAACUGCUAAGUUUUGUGUUUGUAAAUGCUGCUGAAGUGGAGAAAAAAACUUUGAAAGAUAUUUAAAGACAAUUCUUUUAUUACAAGCUUAAAUAUGCAGUAAUAUGGUGUAAUUUGCAAUAAUUUCCAGAAGAUUAAUCUGAAAAUUGGAUAAUGCAAGGUUCAAAAUUCUUGUUUGUUUUUGUUGACAUAAUAGAUUUAAAGGUUUUGUCACAUCUUUAGUACUAAAAUGUUACAAAAUUAAAAAUAAAAACAAACGAUACAUGAAAAAAAACCCUCAGUAAAAACCUUCAGAAUAUAGAGAGGAAUAAAACUGCUAAGUUUGGUGUUUGUAAGUGCUGCUGAAGUGGAGGAGAAAACUUUAAAAGUUAUUUAGAGUUUUGUACUACGUUUUCUGAAGUGUUAUGUUUGAAUAUGCAAUAAUAUGACACAACUUGCAUUAAUUUCAACAAAAUUAAUCUGAAAAUUGCAUAAAGCCAGGUUCAAAAUUUGUAAAGAUUUUUACAGAAGGGAUUUCUCUUUUUAUUACUUGAUAAAUCAGAAAAUUCUGUGAAACAUAUAUUUUCACUAUGUUUUUAGAAAUAAAAUGUUAAAAAAAAAAAAAAAAAAAAAAAAAGACAGGCGAAUGAACUUUCAAAAUAUAGAGAGGAAUAAAACUGAAAAAGCUUUUAAAGAUCUGUAUUGUAAUUGAAAUCUACAGACGCAAAUAGAUAAGGUGCAAUAAAUAUAACACUUAAAUAUAUAUUCUGGAUGUUUUCUUUCUACUGGUCUGAAAGAAGACAUUAUGGAUGCAAAAACUCAAAAUUGACUUGUGCUUGGAAAAAAACUAUGUUUUGCAAUAAGUUAUAAAUUACAUUGCGCCUACAUUAAAAUACUGUUUCUGUCUUGGUAAAAGAUUGUAAACUUACAACAUGCUUCUUAGAAAGAGAAUUUAAUGUUCAUAUUUCUAUAAAUAUCAGCUGCUCAAUUAAGCUGUCAGUUGUUUACUAAGCAAAUUCAUGGUAACAGUGUUUCCAUGGUAACUGUUUUCUCUGUCUCUUUUCAGGUCACGCUGACUGAAUGUCGUCUACUGAAGCACGUCAUCAUUAAUAAUCUCACGCCCACAGAAAAGACUGGAUGAUGAAAGAGUGAAAGCAGACACUCCCAAACCCAACACACACACACAGAGCAGCACUAUGGCCUAGUAAACAUCGUGACAGUGUGACGGGGAACUCUGAGCAGCAUUACUCAACGCCUGACGAUUAUUUACACAAACAUGCCGUUGGGAAACGAGGUGAUGAUGGAUCCGGAGGAAAAGCACAAAGCAUCUGCUGUCCGUCUGAUAGUCGAAUGACCGAGUUCAGUGACCCUUCCUCACAUGAUUUUUAGGAGAAACAGUGGAGACAAAACUGAUACUUAAAGGAAAUGUAACUGAAAAUCUUUUUUUUUUUUAAUAAUUUAAAUGCUUUUUUCCACAUUUUACAUAAACCAUGAUGCAAAAUAUAAUUGUAAACAGUGAAAGUGUAUAUUUCUGAUUUUCCAGCAGGGAAUAUUUGUGUUUUUUGAAAUGUACUUUUGCAUGCUUUGUGUGUGUGUGUGUGUGUGUGUGUGUGUUUUUCCAGCAUGUGGCUUAUAAUUACACGCAUUCUGUGUCCCGCCGUAACGCAUUCCUUCCUCUGUCCUUUGCACGCUGGCCCUCCAUCAGCCGGAGUUAAUCCCAGGUCUCUUUGUUAAUGAAGGCAGAGAGUCACUCGUCAUCUCAGCGCUGACAUUCCUCCUGUCAGGAGAUUCUGCUUAGUAACCCGUUGUCAUGGUGGUGGCCCCGCGCUCCGAUUGGACGAGAGACGAGGCCUCAGGGACUCCGACGGGAUCCAGCUUGCGUGCAGGAGAGAGAUUACAGUCGGAUCUGUGUUGUGGUCUGUUGAACAGCCUGACCCUUCAUGCACUUCGGAUUAGCUCCAGUUACCAUUAAUGGAAAGUAGAGCAGUCGACCGGCCCGCAGUCAUUAUUCAGUGAAUUCGACUGGACGCUUCAGAUCCAGACGUCCUGUCAGAUGAGAAGGUAAAGCCAAAUGUGUGUCAUGUGUAUGGAUUUAAAAUCACAUUGAGGACACAGAGACAUUUAGGAACAGAUGUACUGUACCUGUGUGUGACAGACGGUUGUCAGCAGGUGUUUCAGUGUAUCAGCAAAACCUGCUGCUUAGUCACAAACACACUUGGGAUUUUCCUUUGUUCUCUGAUACAAUAAUAUCUGUAAAGCCAAUAUAUAUAUAUAUAUAUAAUGUAACAUAAUGUUAUAUAUACAAUGUAACAUUUCAGCUGUUUCAAUGUAACUUCUGUAGUGAAAGAUUUAACGCAUCGCACCUAAAGUGAACCAUUAAACAGUAAAGUUCACUCAUUCUGAAUGGUAAAACAAACCCGAGAGAGAGAAAGAGGCUUCAAAGGGCCGUACACUUGAUGAUGAUGAUGAUCACUUUCUUGCUCUUAAUGAUGUUGUUUGCUAAUUGUGAAGUGAAACGCCCCAUAACACAUUAUAGACGUCAGGAAACACUUAAAGUAGAAGCUGAUGGAGCGUUUACAUCAUCCACACGCAACGUCUCAUUUAAGCCCCAGUCCCAUUAAAGAAUCAUGUACGGACCUCCAGGGACGGUUAUGAAAUAUUCAUCUGCUGCGCAUGAGAUUCAUGUUAUAAGAAUAUAUCUGCGGUCACCUGACCUGCUCUCUGAGGCAUGCUGGGAGCACUGAUGUCACUACGAUUCCCGAAGAGUACGAGUGAAUUAUUAAUGUGUCCUGCUGUCCUACGCUUUGAACACAAGCUGUUGUGUGUCAGUCGAGGUCUGGGGUCACUGACAUGCUGUUUGUGUUUCUUAUGAUAAUGUCUAUAAAAAUGACACUUUCAGAUCUAGGUCUGAUUUAUGCUGGAAAAAAAAAAUUGUGUAAAAACAAUUUGUACUUAGAAAUUGCUACUAAAUUUCACAAAACGUGAAUUAAAGAUGCAGAGUAAAAAGACUAAAAUAGUAUUUUCUUGUGAAAACACUGCAAUCAUUUUUAUAUUAAAUAUAUGUAUACACUACCAGUCGAAAGUUUUUGAACAGUAAGAUUUUUAAUGUUUUUUUAAAGAAGUCUCUUCUGCUCACCAAGCCUGCAUUUAUUUGAUCCAA